rnacentral:rRNA from 1 species
AAUAUGGGAACAUGGGGGCAACUCUGCUCCAGCCAUGCCGCGUGUGUGAAGGAGGUCUUCGGCGUGUACAGCUCUUUAUGUUGGGAGGAAAGGCUUUAUGCUAAUACCCUGAUUGUUAGUCGUUGCCAACCGAAUCGCCACCGUCUAACUCUGUGCCAGCAGCCGCGGUAAUACAGAGGGUGCAAGCGUUAAUCGGAAUUACUGGGCGUAAAGCGCGCGUAGGUGGUUAAAUAAGAUUGGUGUGAAAUCCCCGGGCUUAACCUGGGGACUGCUUUCAUAACUGAUGAGCAAGGUUACGGUAGAGGGUAGUGGAAUUUCCAUUGUAGCGGUGAAAUGCGUAGGUUUUGGAAGGAACCCCAGUGGCGAAGGCGACUACCUGGACUGAUACUGACACUGAGGUGCGAAAGCGUGGGGGGAAAA